rnacentral:tRNA from 1 species
AAGACACUAGUAAAAUUUAAUUAUAUGGCCUUGUCAGGGCCAAGUUGUGAGUUAACUCCUCACGUGUCUUA